rnacentral:tRNA from 1 species
CGCGGGGUGGAGCAGUCCGGUAGCUCGUUGGGCUCAUAACCCAAAGGUCAUAGGUUCAAAUCCUAUCCCCGCAA